rnacentral:miRNA from 1 species
UUGACGACGAGAGAGAGCACA